rnacentral:lncRNA from 1 species
UGCGGCCGGGCGGUGCGGGCGGUGACUGCCUGUGGGCGCGGCCCGGCUUCCAUCACCGCCUCUCGGGCUUCCCGGGCUGCGUCGUCACGGACGGCGUGGUCAACUUCUUCCUGGCGCGGACCGACAAAGUCCGCCAGGUCGGCUUCGACCCGAGGCUGCGCAGGGUGGCGCAUCUCGAGUUCUUCAUUGACGGGCUGGGGGUGCUGCACGUGGGCUCCUGCGAGGACGUGGUUGUGGAUCACGCCUCCAAGCUGGCGCUGCCGUGGCGCAAAUCGGAGGCGGAUCGGCUCUACGCCCGGUACCGCUACCCCGGCAGCCGCGACGACGGCGCCCGCCUCAAACACGGCCUCUUCUUCUUCAAGAAUCGCUUCAAGUGCAUGCUGGGCAAUUAGCCCCGCGCCGCGGCCACCGCGGGGACGCCGGGCUCUUGGAGAACUUUGGGCACUGCGGGCAACGCGGGGACUUUGGGCACUUCGGGCACUUUGGGCACUGUGGGCACUGUGGGCACUUUGGGCACUGUGGGUGCCAUGGGCACUGCGGGACUUUGGGUCCUUUGGGCACUGUGAGCACUGUGGGAACUGUGGGUGCCGUGAGUACUUUGGGUCCUUUGGGUAAUUUGGGUCCUUUGGGCUCUGUGGGUGCCAUGGGCACUUUGGGCGCCUUUAGGUGCCAUGGGUCCUUUGGGUCCUUUGGGCACUGUGGGCACUUCGGGAACUGUGGGUGCCAUGGGUACUUAGGGUCCUUUGGGUAAUUUGGGUCCUUUGGGCACUGUGGGAACUUUGGGUUCUUUGGGCACUUUGGGCACCCUUUGGGUGCCAUGGGUCCUUUGGGUCCUUUGGGCACUGUGGGCACUUCGGGAACUGUGGGUGCCAUGGGUACUUAGGGUCCUUUGGGUAAUUUGGGUCCUUUGGGCUCUGUGGGUGCCAUGGGCACUUUGGGCGCCUUUAGGUGCCAUGGGUCCUUUGGGUCCUUUGGGUAAUUUGGGUACUUUGAGUUCUUUGGGCGCUUUGGGCACUGUGCGUGCCAUGGGCACUGCGGGGACUUUGGGCGCUGUGGGUACUUUGGGCACUUUGGGCACUGCAGGCAUCACAGGGACUUUGGGUCCUUUGGGUACUCUGGGUGCUAUGGGUCCUUUGGGUCCUUUGGGCAUUGUGGGCACUUUGGGCACCCUUUAGGUGCCAUGGGUCCUUUGGGUAAUUUGGGUCCCUUGGGCACUGUGGGUGCCAUGGGCACUGCGGGGACUCUGGGCACUUUAGGCACCGUUUGGAUGCCACGAGUCCUUUGGGCACUGUGGGCACUGUGGGAACUGUGGGUGCCAUGGGUACUUUGGGUCCUUUGAGUAAUUUGGGUACUUUGAGUUCUUUGGGCACUUCGGGCAUCACAGGGACUUUGAGUCCUUUGGGCGCUGUGGGUGCCAUGGGCACUGCGGGGACUUUGGGCACUUUGGGCGCCCUUUGGGUGCUUUGGAUACUUUGGGCACUUUGGGCACCGUGGGCA